AUUUGGAAUGUAAAUGGAAUGGACAACUUUUUCGAAACAAAUUUAAAACAUCGACGCGGAGAAACUGCAUUCAAGCUUCUUCUUCUUCUUUGGCUCAACAACCGAUGUCGGUCAAGGCCUGCAUGUACCCACUUGUGGGCUUGGCUUUCAGUGACUAAUUGAUUCCCCCCCAUAGCAGGAUAGUCAGUCCUACGUAUGGCGGCGCGGUCUAUUUGGGGAUUGAACCCAUGACGGGCAUGUUGUUAAGUCGUACGAGUUGACGACUGUACUACGAGACUAAACUAUAACUGCUAAAACUAGGGGUGAAAAAGCUACCAAGGCUCGCAAGCUCUUUAAUGCGAGGGCUCUGGGGCGGUGAACUUGUAUGGCGUGCGAGCCCUCGCGCGCCCUCGCAAAUCGCUGUCAAUUGCAUGGCGGGUCACCACCGAUCUCCUUCCUACCCCUCGCCUAAGAUCGUCUGACGUCUUGCCUGACACCUUUCGUUGUGUUGGUGCUCUGCGGCUGCUGUCACUGUAGAAGUUAGGUUGUAUGUGUAAAAAAAACGUAAACAGUGUUGUUGGCUGAUCAAGUGCGGUAAGUUUUUUAAUUAUUUAGUUCUUAAUUUAACGUAAGUAAGUGCCAUUUUAGCAAAAGUAAGUAGUAGAAGUCCUGCCCAAUGCAUGCUGGCUCCGUCGGAAGCGUUACGUGCAUGUACCGGUGUAGGAAAGUGGUGUGGUGAACAACACAGCACAAGACAGCGGAUAUAAUGAAGAAACGAUAUGGGCCUGCCGCAGGUGUUUGCGAUUGUACGUUGCGUUGUAUAUGAUUCGCCAAUUUUCCUCUAUCCUGGAACGUGGGCUUACGAGGAACCAUUUAAGAACAUCCUCCGGAAGCUGUACGGCGACGAGUCGGGCUCUACCAGCACAUCACGCUAGAAGCCCAGCCGGCACCGGGUGCCCCGAUUGCGCCGUGAGACGGUGUCGAGCGCGCUCGUUAAUAACGUUCGGGGCAGGAAUUCAACCCUUCGGAUCAUUAUCCUCUGCCUCACAAUAGCUGCAGCAGCAUCAGGACCGAACCGACCGCACUACUGAUUGCGGUAGAAUUUCCUGGCAGGAGAAAAAAACCCCACGAGUGAGUUCCUACUAGAUGCACUAUCGCUACAUCUAGAUAUGUUGUUUUAUCUUCUCUCUAAAACAAAUGUUUUAUAUUCCCUCAGGUGUAUCGAUUUCAUCGUGGCACCAACAUGUCACUGAAUAACCCCGGAAAGGCGACAAACACUCAUCUCCAGUGGCAAAUUGUUAUCGUGAAUCCACUUCCGCACAUCUACACGACAUUACAUUAAUAGUGGUAUAGUGUUAAUUGGAAAAAAAAACUUGAUGUAAACGAGUUAAGUUUAAUCUUAAGUGCGCUUUAAGGCAUAAAUUGAUAUGCCUAUUUUUAAGUAAAGUGUUUUGAAAUGCGCGUGUGUGUGAAGGGGCGGAAUAAGCGCUAAUUUUGCCCCGUGGUCUUGAGGGGCCCCAAAAAUGGAACCCACCCCCCGCUCGCAGGUUAAAUUGCUACUCAAUCCUUCUCUAGUCUAUAACAUUUCCCUGCUAGACGCUUAAACCAAUCCUACAUUUGUGUGACUACUUAGGGCCUAAACUUGUAUGUGCGGCUUUUACACAUCAUUUAACAUAAAUAAAUCUAGUUUAUAUUCUCAUAAAUCA